rnacentral:tRNA from 1 species
GGCCCAUUGGUCAAGCGGUCUAAGACACCGCCCUUUCACGGCGGUAACAGGGGUUCGAGUCCCCUAUGGGUCACCA